rnacentral:rRNA from 1 species
CAGCACCUCAAGUGGUCAGGAUGAUUAUUGGGCCUAAAGCAUCCGUAGCCUGUUCUGUAAGUUUCCGGUUAAAUCCAUUAGCUCAACUAAUGGGCUGCCGAAAAUACUGCAAAACUAGGGAGUGGGAGAGGUAGACGGUACUCGGUAGGAAGGGGUAAAAUCCUUUGACCUAUUGAUGACCACCUGUGGCGAAGGCGGUCUACCAGAACACGUUCGACGGUGAGGGAUGAAAGCUGGGGGAGCAAACCGGAUUAGAGACCCGUGUAGUCC